rnacentral:rRNA from 1 species
GACGAACGCUGGCGGCGUGCUUAACACAUGCAAGUCGAACGGAAAGGCCCUGCUUUUGUGGGGUGCUCGAGUGGCGAACGGGUGAGUAACACGUGAGUAACCUGCCCUUGACUUUGGGAUAACUUCAGGAAACUGGGGCUAAUACCGGAUAGGAGCUCCUGCUGCAUGGUGGGGGUUGGAAAGUUUCGGCGGUUGGGGAUGGACUCGCGGCUUAUCAGCUUGUUGGUGGGGUAGUGGCUUACCAAGGCUUUGACGGGUAGCCGGCCUGAGAGGGUGACCGGCCACAUGGGACUGGAGAUACGGCCAGACUCCUACGGGAGGCAGCAGUGGGGAAUAUUGCACAAUGGGCGGAAGCCUGAUGCAGCAACGCCGCGUGCGGGAUGACGGCCUUCGGGUUGUAAACCGCUUUCGCCUGUGACGAAGCGUGAGUGACGGUAAUGGGUAAAGAAGCACCGGCUAACUACGUG